rnacentral:rRNA from 1 species
CGAAAGCCUGACGGAGCAAGACCGCGUGGGGGAGGAAUGCCUUAGGGUUGUAAACCCCUUUUAUCUGGGAAGAACAAAAUGACGGUACCAAAGGAAUCAGCCUCGGCUAACUCCGUGCCAGCAGCCGCGGUAAUACGGAGGAGGCAAGCGUUAUCCGGAAUGAUUGGGCGUAAAGCGUCCGCAGGUGGCAAUGUAAGUCUGCUGUCAAAACCCAGGGCUCAACUCUGGUCAGGCAGUGGAAACUACAUAGCUAGAGUUCGGUAGGGGCAAAGGGAAUUCCCGGUGUAGCGGUGAAAUGCGUAGAGAUCGGGAAGAACAUCGGUGGCGAAAGCGCUCUGCUGGGCCGCAACUGACACUCAGGGACGAAAGCUAGGGGAGCG